AUUCAAAUAUAUGCAGAAAUAUGGCUUAGUGUAGCGCUAGAAAGUGUGAGUAGUACAUGUAUUAUUACUAAGAUUGACAGUAACUCUUUACUAUGUAGUCCAAACAGAUGCAGUUACUAGGUAGUAGACCUGCCUCAUUGUUCCUUGAAACAUUUGAAUAUGUAACCUCUUCACUUUUUUUUCUCCCAAAAGAAAUGUAGUCACAGACUGGCAUCCCCACAAUGAUCCGUCACAUUUGCGUUUAACAUUGUUUUUUUAUAUUUUUAUACAUGAAUGAAUUAUUUAGGGUUUAGUUAGAGACAACUUGGUCUCCUCUUAUUAUAUUAAUAAUCACCUGAAGAACAAGUCAGAGGAGGUCUUGUGUGUUCGUGGACGAGGACUGACGAUGAUUUGAUUCGACUCAGAACAAACACGGUCGCCGGCGUCAGUGUUCGUUGACUCAAACUAAUCAAUUACAAAACAAAAGGAGUGCAGGAUUAGGGUUAAAAACGUAGCUAGCACUACCAGAGGUUUGUGUCUGUGGCUGUGUGUUCCCAAACCAGGACAAUGACCCAUACUUCUCCAAGGACGUACGAAAGCAUCAAGGUUUAUCACUGAGAGGGAGGGGACUUAUCUUGUAAGUCUCUUGUUGUCAGGACGGUAAUCUGUGGUUUGGUUGAGCUGUCAUGAUGCGUCUCUGGAGUGAUAGGCUUCCUGCUAGUUCCAAUUCUGACAUGACAAGUGAUCCUGGUGUUGUGACUUGUAAGGAACUACUUCAAUCCUUUGGUAGAGUGAUGAAGUUCAAUCGUCA